GAGCAGCUGGGAGAAUUCUUCUAAUGUGGGUACCAACUGAUAAUCUGGGAAAGUGAAGCAAUGAUGUUUAGGAUCGAAGAACUGGAAUAGAACUCUCAUCAUAUCUUCUUUGAAACCGGUGGUAACUAAGUUGAGAAGAUGACCAUGUUUCUUGUGGAACUGAGCAUGAUCGGGAGUUCUGACACCAAAUCCUUGAGUUG
rnacentral:lncRNA from 1 species